rnacentral:rRNA from 1 species
ACACAAGAGGACAACAGUUGGAAACGACUGCUAAUACUCUAUACUCCUGCUUAACACAAGUUGAGUAGGGAAAGUUUUUCGGUGUAGGAUGAGACUAUAUAGUAUCAGCUAGUUGGUAAGGUAAUGGCUUACCAAGGCUAUGACGCUUAACUGGUCUGAGAGGAUGAUCAGUCACACUGGAACUGAGACACGGUCCAGACUCCUACGGGAGGCAGCAGUAGGGAAUAUUGCGCAAUGGGGGAAACCCUGACGCAGCAACGCCGCGUGGAGGAUGACACUUUUCGGAGCGUAAACUCCUUUUCUUAGGGAAGAAUUCUGACGGUACCUAAGGAAUAAGCACCGGCUAACUCCGUGCCAGCAGCCGCGGUAAUACGGAGGGUGCAAGCGUUACUCGGAAUCACUGGGCGUAAAGGGCGCGUAGGCGGAUUAUCAAGUCUCUUGUGAAAUCUAAUGGCUUAACCAUUAAACUGCUUGGGAAACUGAUAGUCUGGAGUGAGGGAGAGGCAGAUGGAAUUGGUGGUGUAGGGGUAAAAUCCGUAGAUAUCACCAAGAAUACCCAUUGCGAAGGCGAUCUGCUGGAACUCAACUGACGCUAAGGCGCGAAAGCGUGGGGAGCAAACAGGAUUAGAUACCCUGGUAGUCCACGCCCUAAACGAUGUACACUAGUUGUUGGGGUGCUAGUCAUCUCAGUAAUGCAGCUAACGCAUUAAGUGUACCGCCUGGGGAGUACGGUCGCAAGAUUAAAACUCAAAGGAAUAGACGGGGACCCGCACAAGCGGUGGAGCAUGUGGUUUAAUUCGAAGAUACGCGAAGAACCUUACCUGGGCUUGAUAUCCUAAGAACCUUUUAGAGAUAAGAGGGUGCUAGCUUGCUAGAACUUAGAGACAGGUGCUGCACGGCUGUCGUCAGCUCGUGUCGUGAGAUGUUGGGUUAAGUCCCGCAACGAGCGCAACCCACGUAUUUAGUUGCUAACGGUUCGGCCGAGCACUCUAAAUAGACUGCCUUCGUAAGGAGGAGGAAGGUGUGGACGACGUCAAGUCAUCAUGGCCCUUAUGCCCAGGGCGACACACGUGCUACAAUGGCAUAUACAAUGAGACGCAAUACCGCGAGGUGGAGCAAAUCUAUAAAAUAUGUCCCAGUUCGGAUUGUUCUCUGCAACUCGAGAGCAUGAAGCCGGAAUCGCUAGUAAUCGUAGAUCAGCCAUGCUACGGUGAAUACGUUCCCGGGUCUUGUACUCACCGCCCGUCACACCAUGGGAGUUGAUUUCACUCGAAGCCGGAAUACUAAACUAGUUACCGUCCACAGUGGAAUCAGCGACUGGGGUGAAGUCGUAACAAGGUAACCGUAGGAGAACCUGCGGUUGGAUCACCUCCUUUCUA